GAUGAACGCUGGCGGCGUGCCUAAUACAUGCAAGUCGAGCGAACAGACGAGGAGCUUGCUCCUCUGACGUUAGCGGCGGACGGGUGAGUAACACGUGGAUAACCUACCUAUAAGACUGGGAUAACUUCGGGAAACCGGAGCUAAUACCGGAUAAUAUAUUGAACCGCAUGGUUCAAUAGUGAAAGACGGUUUUGCUGUCACUUAUAGAUGGAUCCGCGCCGCAUUAGCUAGUUGGUAAGGUAACGGCUUACCAAGGCAACGAUGCGUAACCGACCUGAGAGGGUGAUCGGCCACACUGGAACUGAGACACGGUCCAGACUCCUACGGGAGGCAGCAGUAGGGAAUCUUCCGCAAUGGGCGAAAGCCUGACGGAGCAACGCCGCGUGAGUGAUGAAGGUCUUCGGAUCGUAAAACUCUGUUAUUAGGGAAGAACAAAUGUGUAAGUAACUAUGCACGUCUUGACGGUACCUAAGCAGAAAGCCACGGCUAACUACGU
rnacentral:rRNA from 1 species